GAGAUUUGUUAGGGACUCAAGCUGUUCCGUGCCUGAUUAUGUGAAAAAUAGAUGUAGUAAUAGAUGUGUAACCAGCCUGUCUUAGGUGUUUUCUAUAUCCCAGUGCUCAAGCAUCAUCUGAGAACUUCAUAAUCUCCUAUAUAUUUAGAAUUUCAAUGAAGUGGGAAAGCACCGUUAUCUCCAGAUGAGAAUGGGGGGAAAGGUUCUCAAACAAUGAAUUUGCAGGUGGGGAGGAAAGGCACAGAGAGUAAGUUGGGCAGGAGAAAGAAGUAGAUCCAGGUGUUCCUGCUCUCUCACCUUUCCCUCCCCUUGCCACUGUCAGUCAGCUAGGAGGUGAAAUCCACCCAGCACCAAGGCUCUGCAUGCCCAUGGCUCUUAGGGAAUUCAGAGCCUGACAGCAAUCCAGCACUUCUUCCUUUUCCUUUAAGUCACCUUCAGCAAACGUGACGUUUGGGCAAGCCAAAGGAAGAUCUUUUUGGAUAUUGUGUCACAUGAAGGAUGAGACAGACCCUGCUCUCAGGUGCAACCAGUCGGAGCUAGAAAAUAAAACAUAUGGGAAAAGGAUUAUGUCUGUCACACGCUGCCAAGCUGAUUUUAUACAGCAACGGCUCUACAGGGAAAGUUUCACUUCCAGUUCUCCCGGGAAGCCAAUCUGAGACUGAGAGCCAGAAAGCCUGGGUUGCACACCCCACAUCUGCAAGGCAUUUAACCUCCAGUUCCUCUUCUUCAUCUUCCAUUGAGAUCGGUCUUCAUGGGAGGUUUGAGGAUCACAAACAGGAAACGUGGAUGGAAGGCACUGUUAGCCCAAGCAGAGACAAACCCUCAGUAUAUGUGAUGUAG
rnacentral:lncRNA from 1 species